rnacentral:lncRNA from 1 species
GUGCCCGGGGUGCCCGGGGCGCGGGGGCGCGGGUCGCGCACCUGCAGGGCUGAGCGCGGCUUGGCCCGAGUGGGCGCGGGCGGCGUCGCGCGCGGAGCGGCCGGCAGGUGGCGCCGGGCUCCCCGCGUGGCCGGGCGGCGGGCUGGGCGCCGGGGAACCGCCGGGCCGGCCCCCACCGGGUCCACGCGGGCGCCCGCGAGCGCGCAGGGGGAGGGCGGGGGCGGGCGGGCGCGGCGGGGCCAGCUGCUCCCUGGGCUCGGGCGCCGCCGCCGGCUCCUCGGGAAGCGCCCGCGCCGCGGAGUCGGAGGCGGCCACGAUGGAGGCGCAGGCUCGAGAAAUGCCGAGAAGGCAGCUCUUACUUAAAGUGAGUCUUGUCUUUCUUUUUUUUUUUUUUUUUCUUUUUUUAAAGAUUCUAUUUAUUCAUGAGAGACCCAGAGAGAGAGGCAGAGACACAGGCAGAGGGAGAAGCAGGCUCCCUGCAGGGACCCCCAUGUGGGACUCCAUCCCAGAACCCUGUGAUCAUGACCUGAGUCAAAGGCAAAUGCUCAACCACCGAGCCACCCAGGGGCCCCUAAAUGAGUCUUUUUUGCUCUCCUACAUGAUACUGUUAGUUAAGCAUUCUAGGAAAUUUGGAAAUGGUUUUAACAGGGCUGUGCUGCUCUGGGGAGAAGCAUCUCAUGCACAGUCUGGUCGAGGGAGGAUGUCUGAAGCCAUUUCAGUAAGGAAAGUCACCUUCUACCUGGAGUUUGAGCACACCUGAAUCCACCACUGGCCGAAACUCGGACACCAUCCUGACACCACCUCUGUCCCCACCUUGAGCCCAUAGCUCUGGUUAGUGCUGUUCCUCAGUUCAUCCUCCGUCAAAUGGGUGACCGUUACACUGAGGCUUUGAGAAUCAUCAAAGUCUCCCUCUGUCCUUUAAAAUAACCACCGUACAACUCCUGUUUUAUUCGUACGUAGUUAUUAGUUCAUCAUAUAUACUAUUCUAAGCCAAUUUGACUCCUUUAGGGAUGAAAGGGAGAAAGGAGGAAAGGAAGAAAAAGAAAGGCAGGCUGUACUAGUACAUUUUCAAAGAUGGAUUUAUUGGCAAGUGAAUAUUUUUCUGCAAGUACCUACCACCUGCCAUGGUGGAUUGGCACAGUUAGUGCCAAGCAUGCUUUAUAACUUUUUUAAAUUGAGUAUAAUCUUACUUUAAAUUUCGAAGGUCCUGAAAUUACUGACACAUUAGAAUUUGCUAAUUAAAUGUGGUACAUGGUUUUUCCGUAAAUAAACUUUGUGCAUGUACGUCUAUAUAUAUAUAUAUAUAUAUAUAUAUAUAUAUAUAUAUAUAUGGCUAUAACCAUUCAGUUGUUUCUUGAUCAGAGAACAUAAAGGAGAGUGUUAAUUACCACGUUCUGGAUAAUUACAUUUACAGCUGAAAAUACAAAAUGAGACUGUUUAGCAUCUACAUAAGAUUCUGUUUCCUGGUCCUCCUAAUGAUAUAUUCAGGUAUCGAGAAGGUUUUGUAUUUUCUUGCUCAGAGUUCUUUUAAAUAAACAGAAUCCAACCAGCUUCCUGCUCUGGGAGCCCACAGAGUCACAGCCAAAUAACUAGCUGUUAGCAUAACCCUUUAUAUUAGCUAAAUGCUUUUUGGUACAUCUAAUUGUGAGUAUUCCUAGUACCUUCUGGUAGAGUGGAGGAGGCUGGUGUUGCUCUUGUGCAAAUGACUGGCUAGAACCAGAAAAGGGGANNNNNNNNNNNNNNNNNNNNNNNNNNNNNNNNNNNNNNNNNNNNNNNNNNNNNNNNNNNNNNNNNNNNNNNNNNNNNNNNNNNNNNNNNNNNNNNNNNNNUGUUUUUUAGAGAAAGCCAGUUGGGACCUGUGUCCUUCAUGGGAGAUUUACCUACUGUCCUAUGUUGCUAGGAAACUUUGUCCUGUGCUCACAAAACCUUUUAAACACUUGUUGACUUUAAAAGGAGAUACCUCUUUCUCAGCUACGUCUUGCACAUACCCUUCCGAAAAAUCACCUCACAAACAGGUGAUAGUGUUCAUGAAAGGGGCUAGACUAAGGCACAGAAUGUACUAACAAUGACAGGAUUUGAGACUUACCACACUCACUCUCGGGCCUGGAAAUCCUAAUAUCACACUUAGGUCUGCUGGAGACCAAGGCAGGCUUUAUCACUUGCCAAAAGAAAACCAGAAUGUAGUUUAUAACUGAAGCAAUCAACACAUUUAAUUCCCCUUCCUACCCCCUGAACCUGUAUGGGUCGCCGCAAAUAGUCUCUCAUUUAUUUUCUCUAAGUAACCUCCGAGAAUUAGAUACAGGCCUCGGUCACCAGAAGCGGUGCCGAACCCACAGACCUGCAGUCCUAACAGGUGUCAGCGUCCACGGCAGCUUACCUGUCCUUGUUAAGGUGUUCAUCUUUGGUCACCAGAGCCAUAACUGCCAUUCGGUACAUGUGAUCCGAUACACUCUCCGGCCUCUCGACGCUUCUGUAUACCCAGCCCGUCCGGGGGACUCUCUGAUGAAAAGAAGAGAAAAAAGUUGAUAAAAAUAAAUAUUUAACGUGUCUGCUGUGCUCUUCGAGAGAAAUCUACGGAGUAGGGUACAGAAGUAGCGUGACGGUUUCAGAAAGUAUUACAGGAGGCCUCACCAACCGAAUGGUCCACAUCUGGAAUCAAAUAAGCCAGUGGGGUCAGAGAAGGAGAAAGAGGAGGGGGGGGGGGUGAGUAAAAAUAAAAAUACAAAAUACAAAAAGAGAAAGAGGAGAGGGAGAAAUAAUUCACAUGUAAACACUGCAAGAGUCCAGCAGUCCUGUUACUCCGUGUUACUGGGAUGGGAAUUAUGGGCCAUACAGGAGUUCUUCAGACAUUAAAAAUAAAACUGUAAAGUACUGCGUUUCUCGGAACUCCAAGAGUUGGGCCUUCUUGCAUUUAAAGAGGCAGAACGAACGGGGCCUGUGGGGAAAGCUGCGAACCUAAGGAGCCACAGGCUUGCAGAUUUGGAAGCGCAGAGGAGAGGAGCCUUUCUGGGGCUCCUGCUGCCCCCCGCGGGCUGCGGCGCGGCUGCGGGCGGAGGGGGCGCCUCGGGGCACCCCAACCCCACCCCCGCCCGGGCUCGCCCCGACACCCGGACCCCGCGCCGCCCCGGCCCGGCAGGGAGGGGGAGGCCCGCAGGCCCGGGAGGGGGGGAGGGGGGGAGGGGUGCAGCCUCCGCGGGCUGGAGCCCCCCGCGCCCCCGGCCCGCCGCUCACCUUGAGCUGCCCCACCUGCCGCAGGAACCGCAGCAGCGCCGCCGCCGACCCCGACCCCGACCCCGACCCCGACCCCGAGGCCAUGCGUCCCCGCGCGCCGCGGGCCGGAGCUCCUCCCCUCCUCCUCCUCCCUCUCCGGCUUCUUCGCCUCUUCCCUCCUGACUCCUCCCCCUCCCUCCGGCUCUGGCCUCCUCCCUCCGUCUGUCUCCUCCCUGUCCUCCUCCCUCCCAGUCUUUCUCUUCCCCUCCUGACUCCUCCCCCCUUAUGACUCCUCCCCCUCCUCUCUCCUCCUCCUCCCUCCACCCUCCCCUCCUGACUCCUCCCCCUCCUUUCUCCUCCCCCUCCUCUCUCUCCUCCUUCCUCUUCCCUCCCCUUCCUGACUCCUCCCCCUCCCUCCGUCUCCUCCCUCCUUCCUCUCCCCUCCUCCCUCCGUCUCCUCCCUCUCCUCCUCCUCCCUCCCCGUCUUUCUCUUCCCCUCCUGACUCCUCCCCCUCCUCUCUCUCCUCCCCCUCAUCCUUCCCUCUUAUGACUCCUCCUCCUCUCUCCUCCUCCUCCCUCCACCCCCCUUCCUGACUCCUCCCCCUCCCUCGUCUCUCUCCUCCUCCCUCCCUCCUCUCCCCUCCUCCCUGAUCUCUCCUCCCCCUCCUCCUCCUCCCUGCUCCCUCCCCUUCCUGACUCCUCCCCCCUCGUCCCUCUUCUCUCUCCCCUGCUUCCCCUGCUUCCCAGGGCCAAACCAGGCGGCUCCCUGACCCUUCUAGGAAAGCCCAUUCCCCCUUCCUGCCUCCGUGGCUGCCCUCCGGCGCGGCACCGUCCCUGGCGGGUCUCGCACAGCUGGACCCUCGGAGUCUAC